rnacentral:rRNA from 1 species
AACGUAGGAGACAAACGUUAUCCGGAGUUACUGGGCGGUAAAGGGCGUGUAGGCGGUUUGUUAAGUCUGGCGUGAAAGCUCUCGGCUAAACCGGGAGAGGUCGUUGGAUACUGGCAGACUAGAGGACGGUAGAGGCGUGUGGAAUUCCGGGUGUAGUGGUGAAAUGCGUAGAGAUCCGGAGGAACACCAGUGGCGAAGGCGACACGCUGGGCCGUACCUGACGCUAAAGCGCGACAGCAUGGGGAGCAAACGGG